GGAAGACAGGAAGUUUUACUAGAUGAGACGUGGUAGAAAUGUUUUUUGGAAAGUGGACAGGCGGGUUAACCGGAUCCAGAGACUGUAGGCAUGUUAUCAAUAAGGUAUUCCUGUAUCUCCUCCAUUGAGCAACACCAUUUGAUGUCGUUUAUUUUGUGCAUUCAUGUCAAUUCAUUCAAAAACACUCGAAGAAGCACAGGAUUUACUUCAAAGGAGUAUCGGCCAAUACCAGCUACCGAUCUAUUAGCAGUGUAUAAUUAAUAAUUUGUAUGCCUCAAUUUGUAGCCUUGACCUAAAUAAUGUUUUACUGCCUUUGUAAAGAAUAAAAAAUUGCUCUAAAUUGAACCAAAUAGUUAUUUGCUGUUAGAAUAAUAUGUUGUUUGUGUGUUUUAUUGUACAGAUAUUUAUUGUUAUGUACCAUUCACCUAGCCAAAUGCCAAUGUGUAACAAGCUGUGCAAUAAACAGUUUUUGAUUGUUGGUCAAAGCUUAUACAGGAUUUAAAAUUCCAGUAUAUAACAUAGUUUCUAAACAAAAUGUAGUUGAAUAUAUCAGCCCUAUUUUUACUACUACAUGAUCUAGCCAUUUCAGUCGGUAUCGCCCUGAUAUCAGUGUCAAUGCAUCCCUACUAGGGUCUACUGUCAACAUUAACUCAUUAAUCUAUGCGAAUAAAGUGCCUAUAAUAAUGCCUAGAUUAAUGUGCCAACAUAUUUUAACAUUGUUAAUGUUCGUUUGUUUACUUCCGGUUUACUUUCGAGACCGGAAAUAAACCGAAAGUUGGCCGUGGAAACGAAACAGCCGUUAGCUCCAGUCAGUUACAUCAAGUAAAACAAACAGGGGUGCGACAUACAGCAGAGAACUGUGCGGAGGAAUCACUCCACGUGUCAAACAGACGUGAAUGUCAGACCUGACCCAGACCUGGUGAGCCCAGAGUCCUACCUGCUGGUGCACAGGUGCCUUGGGCCUAGGAGGUAGGAAGUUGGGCUUGCCAGCACAUUAUGCAUUGUGUAAUGAGGAUGAUAGGUACUGUGAUUAAUGGCUGUUUUGUACAUUGCAGGCUGAACUGCUGAGUGGUCAGCAGGGCAGCCACUGCUCUUUUUCUCCGACUAUAGUUUUGUUAGUAUUCUGCUCUAGUGCCUCCAUCUUGCCCUCUAUUUAUAAAGAUAACAAACUGAUAUUGUGCCCUUUGAUGACCUUUGCUUCCACCUUCCCCACUUCUAUUGUGUUGUGUAUAUUUACCAGGAUCAUUAGUAUUUGUGUGUGCCCAACAUGAUUCGCAGUGGUGGUUAUUUUAGCCUUUUUUCUUUUAACAGUGUGCUGUGUUUUUAUUGUUGGAAGUGUCAUUGUUGCCCCCGGUCAAUCACUAUUGGUAUAAUUUAUUUUGAUGUGUUUCUAUAAAGGAAUUGUUUAAAUAAAAGUGAUAUUGCACUGUACACGCAGAAGCCUCAGUCUGUCUAUGAUCUACCUUGUAUGGGGUUUUUGGCCAGUAAAAUAAUUGAAUUCAGGGUCUCUCCCCUCAAAGAGGGGCGUUGUCACGUCUGGAUAUUAUUCCAAAGUAUUUUAAGUGUCCAUUUGGUCACAUAUAUCCCAUGGUUUUAUAUUUGUAACCCAUCCCCCACAGUGGGAGUAGUGUGGUAAGGGCAACUGCAUAGCAGGUAGGGGUUGGGUGUCUUGCUCUGGGACAAUUCAACCACCAACCUUGCUGUUCCCAGCACACCCUCUACUCUAUGCGCCACGUUCAUUUGAUUUAACCAGGCUAUGAAUCAUGUACUUUAAUCAAAAUAACUACCAAUUUAAUUUUUCAUUUGAAGCUUUGCCAAUACACAGAUGAGACUCAUGUCUGUGUAAUAGAGGAGUCUUCUGUCCUCUGAAAGUUGAGUUACAGUUCAAUUUAGGCGGUCUAUUACAGCAUGCAAAGUACAGAAAUAAAAAAAGACCAGUACUAUUUAACAAGGAUUUUUUUUUUUUUUAUAAAACAUGGAACCCAUCAGAAAUAUAGCAGACCGGCUGGAUGACCGAAAAAGACGAAUGAAGUUCAACCUUUGGCAAAACAUGUUAUGACGACAUGUAGAUAAAAAAUAUCUAAAACCAAAAGCAACGUUUAGUUCAUGCUGUAGACUUAAUAUAUACUAUUCACCACAUAUAUACCAUGAUAUAUAUUCAUUCUUUUUUACUAUUUACAUAUGUUUUAAUGGAUAGAUUAAUACAUUGUCCAGCCUCUGUACCCCGACUGACAUAAGUUCUGAUAUUACAACCAUGACCCUCCCACUCCCAAAGGUCCGUCCUGUAUGCCACCACCAAAGGAAUCUGGAGGGGAUUCGGUGCUGAGAUGGACGUACUUCCCAGGAUCCUCUGUGGACAAGGAUGCUGAGAUCAGCUCGUCGGUGCACCUGGCAGGCUCUCCCUGCACGUGAACUCCCAUAUUGUGGUGGCGGGGUGUGGAUGGCUCCGCUGCAGAGCGGAGUUGUUCAGGGAACAGUGCCGGUAAGUAGUUAACAAGUUAGCAACCAGCCGGUGCUCGGAGAGAAAAAUAAAAUAAAAAAUAGAUAAAUAAAGUAUAUUGCCGAGAAGAACUCAUCGUGUCCGUGUGUCCUUCGACGAACCCCGUAGAGAUAGCUCCAUCGCGGCUACACGUAUAUUUCACCAAAAUUCUUCCUCCUUUUCUGCAUCCUGUUGUAUCGGACUGGCGGGGAGGAGAGAAGGUGGGCAGAAAGUCAAGUUAAUUAAUUAUCUAGCAGGAGGAGACAUGUAUUUUGGAAAGUAGAUGGACCAGCUAAACCGAAACCAGAGAGCCAAACUGUAGGCGUGUUACCAGUAAUCAAAAACACUUUACUUCCAAGGAGGAGGCGAUCAAUAAAGACCUGCUACCGCAGUCGACAGGGGUCGGAGGUCGCACUCACCUGACGUACUUUUUGCUAUACUUUUAGCUAACUAGCAAGCAAGACAAUGAGCGUGAAUGUUUCGGUGACACAAAAACUGUUGCUGACGUUGUUGACGAUGACUUUGGGGGCGGGUUCUAUAACGUUCUAUGACUGUUCUGUCAGACUGUGGCGGAGAACCGAAAAGGCGGGAAGAAUCCCAGCAAUUUAAUGAAUUAUCGAAUUACUGAAUAGCAUAUUUUAUUUUAUUACGCGUGCACUGUUGUCUUGUCGUCUAUUGUCGUACUGUCUACUGUUUCGCACCAACCGCCAAGUCAAAUUCCUUGUAUGUCUGACAUAUUAUGGCAAUAAAUGUUUCCUGAUUCCUGAAAUGAGACUUGAUAGACAUGUUUUUUUGGUGGACAGACCAGUUACCCGAAACCAGAGAGCCAAACUGUAGGCGUGUCACCAGUAAAGUGUACAUGUUUUAUCUUUAGUGCCUCCAUUGAGCAACGGCAUUUGCAUUUAUGUCUUUCAAAAACACUUGAAGAAGGAGAGGAUUUACUUCCAAGGAGUUGGCGAACAAGAUUAGAUUACAUUAGAUCAACGUCCUUCCCCCGGGUCAUCAUAAAGACUUUUAAAGGUGUCAAGGAAUAAAACUUACAAUGAUGAAUCAUCCCGUUGAGAAGCUUGGAAACAUACCUUGUGUGUUUGUAUUAUUCUGAUUUGUGUCAUUGAUAUGCGUUUAUUGCAAUCAGACACAGAAAUGAUUUCUGGACGUUUGGUCCCUUUUCAAGGCGUGAUUGCCACCCACAGAAUCAUCGCCAGUCCCCCGGACACAGAUAUCAGUACAGGGACUGCGGGUAGGUAACUAAUUUCAUAUUCUCUUAACCUCGGCUCCCUCUAAAGUUUUUUUUGUGGGGUUUUUAAAAUGGGAAUAAUAGUAAUGCACGAAUAAUUAAUGAUGAUAUGAAUAAUGUAAAUAAUAACAAGACUGCACAGCAAUAUUUACCUUGUAGUAUAUAUGUAAUGUCUUUUCUUUUUAGUCUGAUACAAAGACAUGCAAUCAACACAAAGAGAAAAAAAAACAAUGUAUUUACAAUUUACAAAGAAUCACUUCUCUGUGAAAAUGGCACUUAUAAAUAUGAUUUACAUAACAAAAUAAAUAUGUAAAUUACCAAUGUAGCUUGAGAUUUUUUUUCUGUUAGAAAAUAUGUUACAGAAUAAAAUUACAAGUAGUAAUACAUUUCCUUCUCUGGUGUGAUGCGAAAUAAAGGUCCUUUAAAAACAAUUAUAAAGACAUCAUUACAUACAACAUUGUCAUUAUAUUAGAAAGUGAUCUCUAUUAUGAAAUAUAAGAAGGGAGUUACAUUAGUGAACACUUGAAUGAACCUAUACAAAUACUCAAAAGAAAUAUACAAUACACAUCAUUUGUCUCCCUUUAAAUGUUCAUUGCAUUGAUCUGAGGAUCGCUGAGCUACUGACCUAACAUGAGUGUCUGGGGUUUGAACAGCCUUCUUGAGAUGAAGUGGCCUGUGAGAAAGAGGUAAAGACUAGACGUAAUGGCCCUGUGGUGAAUGUAUAGCUACUAAUUAACCUGCAGCUUGAGCAGCCAUCUGAACCGGCCAUUUCAAACUAAAUAUUUCCCUCAGAUUGCAAUGCUAACACGUGUGAGUUACCGUAAUAAUUUAUCUUUACCCACAAAAAUUGCCACAGUAAUAUAUAUUUUUUGAGCAUUGUCUGUCUUUAUAUGCUUUUUCUGGCUACUUACAAUAUUUGAUAUUUGUCUGUCUUUAAUUUGAGAAGCCUAAAAUGUUCUGCUAAUUUCUUGGGUUUAUUGUUUUUUUUCUUUUAAAUGUCAUUAUUACUUAAAGUUGCUGUCCUCGUUACUCUCUGGCCAAUAAAAAAACAUCCAUGGGUGUUAGUGUCUUGCUA